ACAGACAUUAUUAGUUCUUUGCACUUUGGCCAGUUGUGACUCUGUAUAAUCUUGGUCUGCAUGGCAAAAAGAAGCUUCUCUGAUGAUGGCUGAGAGUUGCACUGUUGGUUUAAUGCAACUUCUUAGAAACUAAAAGGAAAGCUGGAAAUUAUGAAGGUAGACGGUUUGAAUAUACCCAUUGGAAAGAUCCACUUACAGAGAAGUUUGAUUUAAGACGUUUAAAGCACCGUAGCAGGAGCAGUGGAAGGAGUGUGGAGCCCUGCAGAUGUUCCUGCUGCUCCUGAACCAACCAACAGGAAACAUCUGGCCCAGCCUGGGGCCAGAAACUGUGUCACAGCCCUUUUAUACCGGGCUUAUAGUGCUAUCAAUUACAAUGUAUUUUUGGAAAAAGCCUGCUCUGGGAGUUCUGACAUUAGUCAUAGCAAGCCUGUCUGCUUUUAAAUUGACUUUUUUUUUUUUCAAAUGCUGCACAUGUUGACAGAAACUGGGGGAAAGUGAAUUUCCAAUCAGAGAACUAGACUCUAGGGGACUCAGUAAUGCGCCUGGUUUUCCCCCUCAGGAGUCUGCAAAGAGGGACUCUCCACAGUUCCUUACAAGGCACAUGGGUCUGCUUUUGCUAAACCUCAUGGUGAUUGGUCAACCAAACACACUGCUGUUUUGUUAUCUGUUACCUGUCAUUUUCCACUGUAGAUGUACAUCCAGUCUUAGCCUUGUUUUCUCAGGGCCACCCCAGUUCAAAUGAAUGAAUGUUACUGGAACAUAAAAUGUUUUGCCCCAUUCCUCAGGGGUUUCCAUUGCACUCAUCUCAGCCCAGGGACCACCAAUGACUUACCUUUCCUAUCCCCGAAACACGUCAGGAGCGUUCUUCUCAAGAUGGUGUCCUUCCUUCGUUCCUAUUUCUCUGCCCUGUCAUUACCCCCACUUAGUUUCCUUCUUUUCUGAAGAACUGUCUCCUUGAUUCUGGCUGACAAAAAGUAAACAGGGGGGCUGGGUGUGGUGGCACACUCCUUUAAUCCCAGCACUCAGGAGGCAGAAGCAGGUGAAUCUCUUGUGAGUUCAAGGGCAGCCUAGUCUACCAAGAGCUCCAGGCCAUCCAGGGCUGCACAGUGAGACCUUGUCUCCAAAACCAAACAACACAAUAGUCAUCUAGUCCCCUGCAAAGUCUUUAAAUCAGAGGAAGUACCAACACCAGAGGAGAGAAGCUUAAAGCAGAUUAAUUUCAGCAUGAGCCACACCUAAGAAUAAAAACCAGAGAUUGCUAGUUCAUGCCCCUGGGGCUCCCUAAACUCAGAACUUGAUCCUCCCGAGAGAAUGCUUGUGAUGGCCUUUCUGGACAUCGCUUUCUACUUCUUUAAAAAAUAAGAGGCUCAGAACUGGGCGUGGUGGUUCACAACUAUAAUGACAGCACUUGGGAGAUAGAGGAAGGAGGAUCAAGGCCAGCCUCAGCUACAUAGUGAGGUCGAGGCCAGCCUAGGCAUCAUGAGAUCCUGAAGGAAGGGACAGGGAGGAAGGAGAGGCCCACACCUUUCACUUCUUGGUUGUGAUAGAGUGAAAGGUAAAGUUUUAGUCAAACUGUGCUUUGAGCCCUUAUUACAUGACCUUAUAGAUAGAUACCAUAUUGUGUGAACUAAAAUCUUCUAAGAAAAGUUAUUGUUAAAAAUAAAUGCUGAGUGGUUGUAAAUUGAACCUGGUGGGUGGCAUCUGUAAACUCCAUAGCCAGGUCCAAAAAUUACCAAGUAAAACUAAUGAUGUUUAGCGAUAUCUUUCACCAACAACAUUACUCUGGGCAAAGAAGUUUUCUCCAUGUUAAGAUAAUUCAGAAAGUAUUCAGAGCUCAUGGAAAAUCCGCAUAGAAAGGUUCUUUAACAAGGUACUGUGGCCUCUAGACUAUGAGGUAAGCUCAGACACCAUCUUCCAGCCCACAGUAUGCAUCAUUUGAGGACUUGACAAGACAUGAAUUACCACAGUUACAUGCCUGGGGCAUAGCCAUGACCUAAGACUAAUUGCUUCACAAACAGCCAGGAAUAGAACAUCAUAUGAUCUGAAUCUUGGUCUCUACACCCAAUCUGCUUGCCUCUUCCUCCACCAAUACUUUUGAUGAAAAAUAAUUGUGUUAGUCUGAUAAAUGCACUUAUCUGGGCUAAUAAAAACUGAAGUGGCAAAGGGGAA